rnacentral:lncRNA from 1 species
CCUCCCUCCUAAACCACCCCCUUCCCGCUCACCACCUCCCACCCCCGCCUGUGCUACGUGCUACUGUGGAGAGGAGGAAGUUUUGAAUAGGCAUCCAAAGUCAACAGGGCCAGAGAUGGAUCUCCUGCAGCUCCUCCUAGUGAAUCUUGAGGUUCCUUUAAAGCACCUCCACUCCUGGAACCUUCCCUGGCUCCACUAUUUAACUGCUGGGUAGGGAUCCGUUCCUGCGAUUCCCCUCUUCUACUGAGAUGGGCAGCAAGACAGGACAGCACAGCUGCUCAGUGCAGUUCAGAGGAUGGGGAAGUUCCAGCAAGGAAAAGCAAGAAGCUCCCGAGGAGACAGGUCGUUCACUAUUCUAGUCUAGAAGAUCAGAGGCCGAAGCUGGCAUCCUGUGUUCCUGAAUUGAGGAAUUAGUACUGAACUUUGCACCUC